rnacentral:rRNA from 1 species
UGGUGGAGCGAUUUGUCUGGUUAAUUCCGAUAACGAACGAGACUCUAGCCUGCUAAAUAGAUUACCGACUCGUAUGCGUCGGUAAGGCUUCUUAGAGGGACAGCUGGCGUUUCAGCCAGACGAGACAGAGCAAUAACA